rnacentral:rRNA from 1 species
GACGAACGCUGGCGGCGUGCCCAAUACAUGCAAGUUGAGCGCUGAAGGUUGGUACUUGUACCGACUGGAUGAGCAGCGCACGGGUGAGUAACGCGUGGGGAAUCUGCCUUUGAGCGGGGGACAACAUUUGGAAACGAAUGCUAAUACCGCAUAAAAACUUUAAACACAAGUUUUAAGUUUGAAAGAUGCAAUUGCAUCACUCAAAGAUGAUCCCGCGUUGUAUUAGCUAGUUGGUGAGGUAAAGGCUCACCAAGGCGAUGAUACAUAGCCGACCUGAGAGGGUGAUCGGCCACAUUGGGACUGAGACACGGCCCAAACUCCUACGGGAGGCAGCAGUAGGGAAUCUUCGGCAAUGGACGAAAGUCUGACCGAGCAACGCCGCGUGAGUGAAGAAGGGUUUCGGAUCGUAAAACUCUGUUGGUAGAGAAGAACGUUGGUGAGAGUGGAAAGCUCAUCAAGUGACGGUAACUACCCAGAAAGGGACGGCUAACUACGUG